UACUCUAUAGUUAAAAGUGAAAUCUGUUCCCUGUCUUUGGACACGUAAGAAUUGGAGGAAAAGAAACAUGGAUUUGGAGAAGUCUGGGGCCAGCUUGCUCCCUGCAGGCUCAAGACCAACCACCCAACAGAG
rnacentral:snoRNA from 1 species